CCCAGACUCCUACGGGAGGCAGCAGUGGGGAAUAUUGCACAAUGGGGGGAACCCUGAUGCAGCGACGCCGCGUGAGUGAAGAAGUAUUUCGGUAUGUAAAGCUCUCUCAGCAGGGAAGAAAAUGACGGUACCUGACUAAGAAGCCCCGGCUAACUACGUGCCAGCAGCCGCGGUAAUACGUAGGGGGCAAGCGUUAUCCGGAUUUACUGGGUGUAAAGGGAGCGUAGACGGCGGGGCAAGUCUGGAGUGAAAGGCCGGGGCCCAACCCCGGGACCGCUCUGGAAACUGCCCGGCUGGAGUGCGGGAGAGGUAAGCGGAAUUCCUAGUGUAGCGGUGAAAUGCGUAGAUAUUAGGAGGAACACCAACGGCGAAGGCGGCUUACUGGACCGUGACUGACGUUGAGGCUCGAAAGCGUGGGGAGCAAACAGGAUUAGAUACCCCGGUAU
rnacentral:rRNA from 1 species